AAAGGGGGUGGCAGUUGGUGUGUGGAAUUUGCACCCAGAUUUGGCUGCCACCUGAGAGGCACCUGCAGGAUGAAGGCGCUCUUCUUCCUCCUCCUGCUGCUGGGCCUCGGGCUCCCUGCCCACGCCGACCAGUGCGUGGUGGACGACUCCAUCGCCCAGAAGGUCCAGGAAGGCAUUAGCUCCCUAACUAGAGAAACUAACCUAAGGUCCGCGAGCCUGGAGUGCCGGAGUGUUACCUCCAGGGGGGGUGUGGCAGCCUGCCCCGGAGGUGAGUAGUCCCCAGCUCCAGCCUCCAGGGGCCUGGGACCACCCCAUUGGGCCUCUGCCUCCAGGGUCGUGGCUCCCAGCGACAGGCCUUUGAGUCAUGCGUACACCUCCUGCCCUUCCCCUGCCCCUCUCCA